rnacentral:rRNA from 1 species
GUGGGGAAUUUUGGACAAUGGGCGCAAGCCUGAUCCAGCAAUGCCGCGUGCAGGAAGAAGGCCUUCGGGUUGUAAACUGCUUUUGUACGGAACGAAACGGUCCGGGUUAAUACCCUGGGCUAAUGACGGUACCGUAAGAAUAAGCACCGGCUAACUACGUGCCAGCAGCCGCGGUAAUACGUAGGGUGCAAGCGUUAAUCGGAAUUACUGGGCGUAAAGCGUGCGCAGGCGGUUUUGUAAGACAGGCGUGAAAUCCCCGGGCUCAACCUGGGAAUUGCAUCUGUGACUGCAUUGCUGGAGUGCGGCAGAGGGGGAUGGAAUUCCGCGUGUAGCAGUGAAAUGCGUAGAUAUGCGGAGGAACACCGAUGGCGAAGGCAAUCCCCUGGGCCUGCACUGACGCUCAUGCACGAAAGCGUGGGGAGCAAACAGGAUUAGAAACCCGUGUAGUCC